rnacentral:rRNA from 1 species
UACGUAGGUGACCAGCGUUGUCCGGAUUUACUGGGCGUAAAGAGCGCGCAGGCGGUCGUUCAAGUCGAGUGUGAAAGCCCCCGGCUCAACUGGGGAAGUGCCUCCGAUACUGGCGGCCUCGAGGGGGGAUAGGGGCAUGCGGAACUUCCGGUGGAGCGGUGAAAUGCGUAGAUAUCGGAAGGAACAUCAGUGGCGAAAGCGACUUCCUGGACCAAUACUGACGCUCAUGUGCGAAAGCGUGGGGAGCAAACAGG